rnacentral:rRNA from 1 species
AGUUCGAUCCUGGCUCAGAUUGAACGCUGGCGGGAUGCUUACACAUGCAAGUCGAACGGCACGGAAUUUCGGUCUGGUGGCGAGUGGCGAACGGGUGAUAUCGUAUCGGAAUCGUCGUAGCGGGGAUAAUCACGCGAAAGCGUAGCUAAUACCGCAUACACCGUAAAAGCGGGGACCUCGGUCGCGCACCAUUAGAGCGGCCGAUAUCGGAUUAGCGAAGCGGCGGCAACGGCUCACCAAGGCGACGAUCCGUAGCUGGUUUGAGAGGACGACCAGCCACACUGGGACAUUCGAGAUACGGCCCAGACUCCUACGGGAGGCAGCAGUGGAAUUUUGGACAACGGGGAAACCCUGAUCCAGCCAUCAUCCCCGCGUGUGCGAUGAAGGCCUUCGCUGUGCAGCACUUUUGGCAGGAGAAGAAACGGCACGGGAUAAGGCUCCUGUGCAACUGACGGUACCUGCAGAAUAAGCACCGGCUAACACGCCAGCAGCCGCGGUAAUAUUUGUGGGUGCAAGCGUUAAUCGGAAUUACUGGGCGUAAAGCGUGCGCAGGCGGUUCGGAAAGAAAGAUGGAAAUCCCAGAGCUAACUUGGGAAACUGCAUUUUUAACUACCGAGCUGAGUGGUCAGAGGGAGGGGAAUUCCGCGUAGACGCAAAGUGAAAUGCGUAGAUAUGCGGAGGAACACCGAUGGCGAAGGCAGCCUCCGGGAUAAGUUUAUCGACGCUCAUGCACGAAAGCGUGGGAGCAAACAGGAUUAGAUACCCUGGUAGUCCACGCCCUAAACGAUGUCAACUAGCUGUUGGGGCCUUCUGGGCCUUGUAGCGCAGCUAACGCGUGAAGUUGGACCGCCUGGGGAGUACGGUCGCAAGAUUGAAAACCAAAGGAAUUGAUUGGACCCGCACAAGCGGUGGAUGAUGUGAUUGUCUGAUGCAACGCGAAAACUCAUCACCUUUGACAUGUCUGAAUCCCGAAGAGAUUUCGGGAGCGCCUCGCAGAGGAACUGGAACACAGGUGCUGCAUGGCUGUCGUCAGCUCGUGUCGUGAGAUGUUGUUGUCCCAACGAGCGGGCAACCCCAUCAUUAGUUGCUACGAAAGGGCACCUCUAAUGAGACUGCCGGUGGACAAACUGAGGAAGGUGGGAUGUGACGUCAAGUCCUCACAUUCCUUAUGGGUGGGUCAGAAGAGGUCAUACAAUGGUCGGGGACAGUGUGGUCGCCAACCCGCGAGGGGCGCCAUCCCAGAAACCUGAUCAGUCCGGAUCGCAGUCUGCAACCGACUGCGUGAAGUCGGAAUCGCUAGUAAUCGCGGAUCAGCAUACGGCGGUGAAGCCACGUUCCCGGGUCUUGUACACACCGCCCGUCACACCAUGGGAGUGGGCUUACCAGAAGUAGUUAGCCUAACCGGGUGAUAAGCGAUUACCACGGUAGGAUUCAUGACUGGGGGUGAAGUCGCAACAAGGUA